AGCGAACGCUGGCGGCAGGCUUAACACAUGCAAGUCGAGCGGGCACUUCGGUGUCAGCGGCAGACGGGUGAGUAAUACGUGGGAACGUACCCUUUGGUUCGGAAUAACGCUGGGAAACUAGCGCUAAUACCGGAUACGCCCUUUUGGGGAAAGGCUUGCUGCCGAAGGAUCGGCCCGCGUCUGAUUAGCUAGUUGGUGGGGUAAUGGCCUACCAAGGCGAAGAUCAGUAGCUGGUCUGAGAGGAUGAUCAGCCACACUGGGACUGAGACACGGCCCAGACUCCUACGGGAGGAAGCAGUGGGGAAUAUUGGACAAGGGGCGCAAGACUGAUCCAGCCAUGCCGCGUGAGUGAUGAAGGCCUUAGGGUUGUAAAGCUCUUUUGUCCGGGACGAUAAUGACGGUACCGGAAGAAUAAGCCCCGGCUAACUUCGUG
rnacentral:rRNA from 1 species